UACAGAGGGGGCUAGCGUUAUUCGGAAUUAUUGGGCGUAAAGGGCGCGUAGGCGGCUUGGCAAGUGGAAGGUGAAAUCCCUCGGCUUAACCGAGGAACUGCCCUCCAAACUGCUUCGCUUGAGACCGGGAGAGGUGAGUGGAAUUCCCAGUGUAGCGGUGAAAUGCGUAGAUAUUGGGAGGAACACCAGUGGCGAAGGCGGCUCACUGGACCGGUACUGACGCUGAUGCGCGAAAGCGUGGGGAGCAAACAGG
rnacentral:rRNA from 1 species